CAGCAGUCGCCACGGUAAUACAGAGGGUGCGAGCGUUAAUCGGAUUUACUGGGCGUAAAGCGUGCGUAGGCGGCUUCUUAAGUCGGAUGUGAAAUCCCUGAGCUUAACUUAGGAAUUGCAUUCGAUACUGGGAAGCUAGAGUAUGGGAGAGGAUGGUAGAAUUCCAGGUGUAGCGGUGAAAUGCGUAGAGAUCUGGAGGAAUACCGAUGGCGAAGGCAGCCAUCUGGCCUAAUACUGACGCUGAGGUACGAAAGUAUGGGGAGCAAACAGGAUUAGAUACCCGGGUAGUCCCUGUCUCUUAUAC
rnacentral:rRNA from 1 species